AGGACGAACGCUGGCGGCGUGCUUAACACAUGCAAGUGGAGCGACGAACCGGGGCUUGCCCCGGGGCAGAGCCGCGAACGGGUGAGUAACACGUGGGUUACCUACCCCGAUGACCGGGACAACCCGAGGAAACUCGGGCUAAUACCGGAUGUGGUCUUCGGACGAAAGGAAGCUUCGGCCUCCGCAUCGGGAUGGGCCCGCGGCGCAUUAGCUUGUUGGUGGGGUAACGCCUACCAAGGCGACGAUGCGUAGCUGGUCUGAGAGGACGAUCAGCCACACUGGGACUGAGACACGGCCCAGACUCCUACGGGAGGCAGCAGUGGGGAAUCUUGCGCAAUGCGCGAAAGCGUGACGCAGCAACGCCGCGUGGGGGAAGAAGGGCCUUCGGGUUGUAAACCGUCUUUCAGUUGGGACGAAGGUUCGCUGGUUAAUAGCCGGCUGGACUGACGGUACCUUCGAGAAGAAGCCCCGGCUAACUACGUACCAGCAGCCGC
rnacentral:rRNA from 1 species